rnacentral:rRNA from 1 species
GAUGAACGCUAGCGGCAGGCCUAAUACAUGCAAGUCGAACGGUUUCUGGUUUUCGGAUCAGGGAUAGUGGCGCACGGGUGCGUAACACGUACACAACAUACCCUUUACAGGGGGAUAGCGGUGGGAAACUGCCAGUAAUACCCCAUGUCCUUGUAGGUUGGCAUCAAUUAACGAGGAAAGUUACGGCGGUAGAGGAUUGGUGUGCGUCCGAUUAGCUAGUUGGCGGGGUAACGGCCCACCAAGGCGACGAUCGGUAGGGGGUGUGAGAGCAUGGCCCCCCACACGGGUACUGAGACACGGACCCGACUCCUACGGGAGGCAGCAGUAAGGAAUAUUGGACAAUGGUCGGAAGACUGAUCCAGCCAUGCCGCGUGAAGGAAGAAUGCGCUCAGCGUUGUAAACUUCUUUUGAAUGGGAACAAAUCACCCUACGUGUAGGGUGUUGAGGGUACCAUUAGAAUAAGCACCGGCUAACUCCGUG